AUAAUGCCAGACUGAGACAUCUCUAACUGGCCAAAGAUUUAUCGGCAAAGGAUGGGCCUGCGUCUGAUUAGCUAGUUGUGGGGUAACGGCCUACCAAGGCGACGAUCAGUAGCCGACCUGAGAGGGUGAUCGGCCACAUUGGAACUGAGACACGGUCCAAACUCCUACGGGAGGCAGCAGUGGGGAAUAUUGCACAAUGGGCGAAAGCCUGAUGCAGCAACGCCGCGUGAAGGAAGAAGGUCUUCGGAUUGUAAACUUUUGUCGACAGGGAAGAAAAAAAUGACAGUACCUGUGGAGGAAGCCCCGGCUAACUACGUG
rnacentral:rRNA from 1 species